rnacentral:rRNA from 1 species
GACGUAGGGCGCGAGCGUUGUCCGGAUUAUUGGGCGUAAAGAGCUCGUAGGCGGCUUGUUGCGUCGACUGUGAAACCCGUGGCUCAACCAUGUGGUCUGCAGUCGAUACGGGCAGGCUAGAAUUCGGUGAGGGGAGACUGGAAUUCCUGGUGUAGUGGUGAAAUGCGCAGAUAUCUGGAGGAACACCGGUGGCGAAGGCGGCAUCCUGGAC